rnacentral:rRNA from 1 species
CGCGUGGCGGCGUGCUUAAUACAUGCAAGUCGAACGAAGCACUUUUGACAGAUCCCUUCGGGGUGAAGAUGAUUGUGACUUAGUGGCGGACGGUGAGUAACGCGUGGGGAACCUGCCUCGUGCUGGGGGAUAACAGUUAGAAAUGACUGCUAAUACCGCAUAAGCGCACAGUAAGGCAUCUUACAGUGUGAAAAGAUUUAUCGGCAUGAGAUGGACCCGCGUCUGAUUAGGUAGUUGGCGGGGUAACGGCCCACCAAGCCCGCGAUCAGUAGCCGACUUGAGAGAGUGAUCGGCCACAUUGGGACUGAGACACGGCCCAGACUCCUACGGGAGGCAGCAGUAGGGAAUAUUGCACAAUGGGGGAAACCCUGAUGCCAGCGACGCCGCGUGAGUGAUGAAGUAUUUCGGUACGUAAAACUCUAUCAGCUAGGGAAGAUAAUGACGGUACCUGACUAAGAAGCCCCGGCUAACUACGUGCCAGCCGCCGC